AGAGAAAGAGAAAGAGAAAGAGAAAAAAGAAAAAAGAAAAAAGUCGAGAUGAAACUCCAUCCAGAGUCCUGCAAAAGAGAAAUAGUGAGAGAAGGGGUAGAGAGAACCUAGAGAGAGGAGAAAGAAUGAACCGCGAAGACUCACCAAAAAUUACUGUCGGAGUCUAUUCCGAUGAAGAUCAUGAUGCAAGGAGGUGAAGAUCAUGAUGCAGAGAGACUUUCUUGGAAGGGAAAAGAGAAUGUGGGUGGCCGGAGUCCCAUUUUUCAUCAAGAAAUCGGAAAACCCACAAGGAACAACUCUACGCAUGAUUUGUGAAGAAGUUUGGCCGAGACCUCAACCCGAAGGCGGAGAUCCAAGAGUCGGCCGAUAACGGUGAGCGAACUUCCAUCGUUCUUAACUCGUCCGGUAGUCAAGCAAAAAUUACAAAAAAAAUAAUAGGACGUAGCCCGUAACACGAUCUAAAACUUUGCCGAAGGAAUCAUGUCGAUCCGACCUACGGAUCAAAAGAUAGGAAAAUCGGAAAAGAGGACUGUGUUUCGGUUUUCAGAGGGCAGAGAAGAAAGAAGAAAGAAGAAAGAAAAAAAAAUAAAAGAGAGUCGGCCGGCGAGCGGCGGAGGNGGGCGGCGACAGGCACCGGACACACGGCGACAGGCACCGGACACACGUGUUGCCUGCAAGCCGGGCCGAACCCAACGCGGGCCGAGCCGACCGGACCGAACCGGACUGGCCGACCCGCGAGUACGCGGAAGCGGGCGCGCGUGCAGCCUGCGACUAGCGCCUUCCCGCGCACGUGACCACGCACUCCCAACGCGCUGCUGGCGCGUCAGCGGGCGUGGGAUGGCCAAUUUGGCCCGGUUACUUUCUGUUUGCCCAAUUUUGUCCCGGUUCCAGUUUUAAUACUGUUUUUACGUGAAUAAGAACCUAAUUUAAAGAAAUCAGUAUUUCUGGACACCUGGGCAAAGAAACGCUAGAAAAAGGCCACGUGUCAACCAGGUAAGUCACCACCCGGUAUUUAGGAAGAAAUACUUGUAGGAUUCGCUUGGAUUGCAUGCAUGCUAAUAGUGUUACCUCAUAUUAGCUCUCCAUGUAAAUUAUUUGUCAGAGUAUUUGAUAUGAUUGUAUUGGGUGAAUUACAUGA